AACAAGGCGUACCUGCGGACCUGCGGAGGGAUCAUUACCGAGUGUGGUCCCAUAAGGGGCGCCUCCCGUCCUUUGCAGGGCCUUUAGGGGCUUUUUGACUUUGCUUCGGCGGGCUUGUCCCGCCGGAACACCCUCAAGAAAAUCUUUAUGAACCGUUUGUCUGAGUCUGCUUGCGAAUAAAACAAAACUUUUAACAACGGAUCU
rnacentral:misc_RNA from 1 species